CUGAUGAUUUGUAUCCGUGCUGUCUCAUCUUCCUGAAAGCUCUUCUCAAGCUGUGGGAGUGCUGCAGAAGGUGACUGAAACCUCACAGGGUUGUUAAAAAGCUUGGGAUUACACACGACUGAGUCAGCAGAGGAGAGAGACUGGGGCAAAAUGUGCGAAUUAAUCCUAGGCAUCUGGCUUAUGACAAGUCUUUCUACGAAACUCACCAUGAGUAACUUGUGAUACAGUGUUUGCUCUGUUCGGGUGGACACCAGCGCC
rnacentral:lncRNA from 1 species